CACUCACCCAACGGAUACUUAUCGAGGACCUGCUAUAUUUCGCUCUGCAGUGCCCUGAGGGUUUGAGGUCUUGGACUUGCUACCAACCUACCAGGUAACCAUGGACAAGCCCCUUCUCCUUCUUGGAUUGAUAAUCAUAAAAGCCACACUUUACUGAGUCAUGAACAUGUUCAAGAUGCUGAUUGCUCACCACUCACAACAGUCCCUUGAGGCAACCGGGAUCCUGCCUGGGCUUGAGCUCCAGCUGAGGCCCUACCGCCUUGUGUGGUUCUUGCUAGGUCCUCUCCUGAGGGUUGGAUCUGUCUCUAAUUCUCAGCUAUUGACUCAGGUCCUGCUCACAAUGGACAAGUGA
rnacentral:lncRNA from 10 species